CCUACGGGAGGCAGCAGUGAGGAAUAUUGGACAAUGGGCGCAAGCCUGAUCCAGCCAUGCCGCGUGCAGGAUGACGGUCCUAUGGAUUGUAAACUGCUUUUGUACAGGAAGAAACAGUUCUACGUGUAGAACCUUGACGGUACUGUAAGAAUAAGGAUCGGCUAACUCCGUGCCAGCAGCCGCGGUAAUACGGAGGAUCCAAGCGUUAUCCGGAAUCAUUGGGUUUAAAGGGUCCGUAGGCGGUUUAGUAAGUCAGUGGUGAAAGCCCAUCGCUCAACGGUGGAACGGCCAUUGAUACUGCUAAACUUGAAUUAUUAGGAAGUAACUAGAAUAUGUAGUGUAGCGGUGGAAUGCUUAGAGAUUACAUGGAAUACCAAUUGCGAAGGCAGGUUACUACUAAUGGAUUGACGCUGAUGGACGAAAGCGUGGGUAGCGAACAGGAUUAGAUACCCUGGUAGUCCACGCCGUAAACGAUGGAUACUAGCUGUUGGAAGCAAUUUCAGUGGCUAAGCGAAAGUGAUAAGUAUCCCACCUGGGGAGUACGUUCGCAAGAAUGAAACUCAAAGGAAUUGACGG
rnacentral:rRNA from 1 species